GUGGGUAGUUUGACUGGGGCGGUCUCCUCCUAAAGAGUAACGGAGGAGCACGAAGGUUAGCUAAUCCUGGUCGGACAUCAGGAGGUUAGUGCAAAGGCAUAAGCUAGCUUGACUGCGAGAGUGACGGCUCGAGCAGGUGCGAAAGCAGGUCUUAGUGAUCCGGUGGUUCUGAAUGGAAGGGCCAUCGCUCAACGGAUAAAAGGUACUCCGGGGAUAACAGGCUGAUACCGCCCAAGAGUUCAUAUCGACGGCGGUGUUUGGCACCUCGAUGUCGGCUCAUCACAUCCUGGGGCUGAAGUAGGUCCCAAGGGUAUGGCUGUUCGCCAUUUAAAGUGGUACGCGAGCUGGGUUUAGAACGUCGUGAGACAGUUCGGUCCCUAUCUGCCGUGGGCGCUGGAGAAUUGAGGGGGGCUGCUCCUAGUACGAGAGGACCGGAGUGGACGCAUCACUGGUGUUCGGGUUGUCAUGCCAAUGGCAUUGCCCGGUAGCUAAAUGCGGAAGAGAUAAGUGCUGAAAGCAUCUAAGCACGAAACUUGCCCCGAGAUGAGUUCUCCCU
rnacentral:rRNA from 1 species